GGUCACCCCUGUGCUGAUCUGUUGUCUUCAGUCGUCCAGUCUCCACUGGCCAGCCUUCUCGUGCGGCCAUGGGGAGCAUUCCCUUCUGUGUCUACAGGAAAUCUCCUGGUUUCACACCAGGGUCCUGGUGUGUCUCCCCACACCUUGUGAAUUUGUUUUAGACAUUGAGGUAUGCAGCUCCCUGCCCCAGCCUUUCUUCUUUUUGUUUUGUGUCUUCCUGUGGCUUCCUGAGAAGGGAGGCCCUGGAGGUAAAGCAUGAGACCUUGAGUGGGAGCGUUCUUUGGUUGAUUUGGGUUAAGAUUAUGGUUUUUCUUAGAUUUUUCUGGAAUCAUUAGUCAUAGCCUUUAGUAACUCGAGUUGCUACUAAGUCUAACAACUCGUUUGUUUAUGGUUUUUCUCUCUCUGGAAACUUUUAAGAUGUUGUCUUUGCUUCAGAAGACCAGAAUUCUAGUUGUUCUGUUGCUACAGGCCUGUAAUCACAGCUACUUGGGAGGUUGAGGCAGGAGAUUCAACUUAGCGAUUUCAAACUUUUACAAAAAUUCUGGGACCAUAGCUCAGUGAUAACGUGCAUGCCUAAUGCAUGUGGGCCUUAGGUCCAUCCCCCAAAUCAUUCAAAACAAAGAAAAAGGAAAGGAAACAAAAAGAUAAUAAAUUUCAUGAGUCUUGUUGCAAGGCCUCUUUCUCUUUUAACUAUGAGGAGCAAAGCGAAGAUGGACCUAUUGACCUGGACGCUCCGUUGGCCACUGCAUUUCCGGUAGAAUUGUCUUGCUGUGCCUUCAUACCCCUCAUCUGGGAGCAGUGCCUCCUGGCAGCUUGGAGAGACAGGCAGUACCUACACCUGACCUCCUCUGGUCAUUACCUCUUGAAGAAGGACUGUGCUGUAGUAAUGCCACAGCCACCCGGCUGUCCUUACAGUUAGGCAAGGAAUGGCUGGUCACCCUGCUCGCAUUGUCCUGAGCAAACUGCCUGGAAGAACUGCCACAUGAGCUCGGCCUCCCUUGCUAAGUCCCAGGGCCAGGGCAGCUGUUUGAUUUUCUCUAGACACAGUGCCCAACAGCACGAAGAGUCAGCACUCGCACGGCCUGCG
rnacentral:lncRNA from 1 species